UACGUAGGGUGCGAGCGUUAAUCGGAAUUACUGGUCGUAAAGCGUGCGCCGGCGGUUAUGCAAGACAGAUGUGAAAUCCCCGGGCUCAACCUGGGAACUGCAUUUGUGACUGCAUGGCUGGAGUGCGGCAGAGGGGGAUGGAAUUCCGCGUGUAGCGGUGAAAUGCGUAGAUAUGCGGAGGAACACCGAUGGCGAAGGCAAUCCCCUGGGCCUGCACUGACGCUCAUGCACGAAAGCGUGGGGAGCAAACAGG
rnacentral:rRNA from 1 species